rnacentral:misc_RNA from 1 species
AGAUCUUACUCUUAUUUCUCAGAAAUUUUGCAUGAUCAAGAUUAAUUGUUUUUUAGAAUGUACAUCAUGAUGUGAUAGCAAUUUUUUAAUAGGUUCUUUACAUCAUUGUUCUUCUUUGUAAUUUGUCCACUAUUUUACUUUGAAGGUUAUUUGUAACUGGGUUGCAUAAGAAAUAUAGGACUUGCUAUCAAAAGCCAAAAAAUUGUUUAAAUUUGUUAGGAAGUAUUUCAAGAACAAUACCAAAACAAAUCUACCAAUUGUAGAACCAGGCUGAAAAAUUGGUUGGACAGGAUUUU